rnacentral:rRNA from 1 species
GGAUUAGUGGCGAACGGGUGAGUAACACGUGAAUAACCUGCCCUCCACUUUGGGAUAACACCGGGAAACCGGUGCUAAUACUGAAUAUUGAAACAUAAGUGGCAUCACUGAGUUUUGAAAGAAUUUCGGUGGAGGAUGACUUCGCGGCCUAUCAGCUAGUUGGUGAGGUAAUGGCUCACCAAGGCAGCGACGGGUAGCCGGCCUGAGAGGGCGACCGGCCACACUGGGACUGAGACACGGCCCAGACUCC